rnacentral:rRNA from 1 species
CCCUUAGAUGUCCUGGGCCGCACGCGCGCUACACUGAGUGUCUGAGAUACGAGUCUGCCUGGUCCGGCAAGGUCUAGGUAAUCGCUAAAAGACACAUCAUGCUUGGGAUAGAUUAUUGCAAAUAUUAAUCUUGAACGAGGAAUUCCUAGUAAGCGCAAGUCAACAGCUUGCGUUGAUUACGUCCCUGCCCUUUGUACACACCGCCCGUCGCUACUACUGAUUGGAUGUUUAAGCGAGGUUCUCGAACUGCUAGCGACUUAGCUUCGGUGAGGUCGCAGUGUGGGGAGUGAACCUAGCUUUGGUGUCUAGAGGGAGUAAAAGUCGUAACA